rnacentral:sRNA from 1 species
CUGACACCUCUGAACAUGGACGCCUUCUGUUUAUGCACAGAACAAAUACUGCUUAGGCAGCAGCAUUACACAUGCUGCCCUGCCAGUGCCCUCAGCCCUGACCUGGAGGCCUGCCUCUAGGACUGAAAGAGGAGUUCUAUCUCCAUGGCCUAUUUAAUUCUUGGCUUCU